rnacentral:rRNA from 1 species
AUGCCUACAACGACUUCAUCAAGUCCAAGGCGACCACCUACGAGCGAGGGAGACACUUCCAUCUUCGGAAGCCCCUCAAGAACGAUGGCUGAGCAUGGGAAACUCCCUUCGGUCAUGGACACGAGCUACGAGGUGCCACAUCAUAUGGGCCUCCAACACCACGGCGACGACUACGAGAUGGUUGAGCAUGGGAUUCUCCCUUCGACCACGGCGACGUAUGAUGACAUGAGUGACUUAUGCCAUCAUAUUGAGAGUGAGAGUGACUUCACCACUAGCCCCAUAUAUGAUGAGCCGCACCAAUUCCCAUGUGAGGAGAGCCACCACCACCACCACUUGAGUGAUUUGAUUGCCUCCACCAUAUGCGACAUUGAGUGCACCUACCUUGAGGGAGUGAGUGAGCCACCGCCACAUAGAGAGAGUGAGAUAGUUGAUGAGGCAUAUGAGGCCAUUUCGCUUUCUAACAACUUAACCUCUACCUCUAUUGUGUCUUCUCCUUUGGUGCUAGGUCCCAUAUAUGAUGACGCGCCGAUUCGCGACGACUACGUCCUCCCUUUGAACACGACGAUGGCCAUGGUGGAACAUGAUGAACCCCCCACAUGGUUCCAUCAAGAUGAAGAUGACAACGAGACGAUCUUCAACACCUCACCUACAACACACAAGCGACGCUCCAAAGGUAACAAAGGUGACGGUGAUGCUCUAGUCCCACUAGUGGACAUUCUUGAGAUUGAUUGCUUGCAUGAUGUUGACCCACCUAUUACCAUGCUUCAUGCUAGUGACACUUAUUCAUGCCUUGACUUACCUAUUUACGAUGAAUAUGAUGAUGAGCAUGUUGAGUUGCCUAGUUGUGAUGCUAUGCUCCAUAGGAUAUCAUGUGAAAAUUCUCUUGGUCACAUCAUGUUUGAUAAUCCGCUUGACUUGUCAUAUGCUAUGCAUGAGAUCUCCCGUAUGUCAUAUUUGCAAUCUCAUCAUAGUGACUAUGCAUAUGCCUUUAAAAUAAACCCAAUUUGCACAUAUGGCAUAGAUGACAAGCCCAUGGUUAUUGGCAUUUGUUUUUCUUGUGAUGAUAUUGAUAUGCUCCCUUUGCAUCAUUUAUCUACUAUGUCAUGCCAUGACCACCUAGCUUUGGAUAUGCAUUGUUUACCAUGUUGUCCAUUUUCUCCAUAUUAUGCUUUCGAUAUUGCUCAUGAGGAGACCCCCAUAGUUUCCUCAUACCCAUUAGGAGAUUAUGAUCCAUCCUAUGAUUUGCAUGAUUUCCAUGAUUGCGUGCACCAUAUGCAUAAGAUGAAUAACAAUGCUCUCGAUAUUUCUCAUGAUGCAUUACAUCCUUUGAGUCUCCAUUAUGCCAUACAUAAUAACAAACCUCUCAUGAUGGAUGACAUGUUUCUAUAUCACGCAUCUCAUUUAUUUGAGCAUUGGCUAUUUUGUGCUCACCGACACAUGCAUGUGCGCAUCAUGAUGGAUGAUGUGUACAUCUACCACGCACACACAAUUUUUCCUUUGUCUUUGUUUUGUGUAGGUACCCAUGAAUACUUGUCAACCUCGCAAUCCCACGAGUUGACAAAACGAGCUCUUGAGAGCAAUGGCGAUUUGGGAUCCCGUGGACUAUCCUCACCACCGUCCCCUUCGCGCAAGGACUACGCGCAACUCCUCUACUUGGCUCUCACACGGCUAUGGGCCAUUUACCACUUCUCACAUUAUGCUCAUUUUACCGUGUUCACUUUGCAUGCUAUGCUUGCUUCUAUGCCUUUGCCAUGCAAUUGUGACCCUUGCUUGCAUCUACCCAUGUUUCAUCAUUAUGCUACUUCUAUGUAUAUUUGCAUGCUUGGUGGAGAUCCUUAUUGCUAUUGCCAUGUUUAUCAUGUGCCCCAUGCUAUUGAUACUAUUUUGCUCAUAUCUUGCCUUUAUGCUUGUGAUAUGUCAUGUGCAUUAUUCAUGCCCACUAUUUGCACACAUGACAUGAUUGCCAUGAUUCCUUCUAGUAUGUUGCAUCUUCACACUACUAGCACGAUUGACUUGAUUGCUAUGAUUGCUUGCUAUGUUGCAUCACCCAUGUUCCACUAUCACUUGCUUUCUUGGGUUGAUGACAUAUAUGCAUACACUUGUUCUCGCAUCAUAUGCCUACAUACUAUGAAAUGCUCCCUUGUCCUUUCUUAUGAUGAGCAUGAUGCAUACACUUGUUGGGUAUCUCGCCCCUCGAAUGAUAGGUCUUGCUUUUGCACUAACCUCAUUUGUUUUCCCAAGUGUUUCUCAUGUUCUUUCAUUUUGAAGGAUUCACAAGGCAUCGACAUCGACCUAUGGUACAUCCAUGCCUACCAUGUACAUGGCGAUACGGUUUACGAUCCGAGGUCGGAUCUUUUCAAAGGGGGAGGAGAUGAUACGGAGCAUCCCAUGUUCAUCUCCAUGUACACCUUCAUAGCACAUCAAGCCCCAAGUGGACCUACCAGAACUAAGGUGAACCCGCUCUUCUUCGAGAACAUCAUGAAUAUCCAUUGGACUUGCUUGCUACCUCACCAAAGUGCUCUAUGUGUCCUUAGGUACGAAGACCGACGCCCACAAGCUGGUGAGGGACACCCCAAAGGAGUUGGAGAAGGACCACAAGGCCACAAGGAGGAAGAAGGAGUGCGACAAGAUCAAUUCAGCACCUCCCAGGCGACCCCAUGCCCACGGGCCUCGAAGACCCCAUGCGCACGGGCUACUCAGAGAGUCUGCGCUGGAGCACCCCGUGCGCACGGGCCUGUACCAUGCCCACGGGACCCCCGUGCACACGGGCCCAACUUACCCCGUGCGCACGGGCCCUACAGGAUGGACGGUUGUGAGCUGCUGUUUGGGCCUCCUCUUCAUCCACUUCGUCCCCAUGCCUAUAUAUUCCGUACCUAG